AAAUUGAAGAGUUUGAUCAUGGCUCAGAUUGAACGCUGGCGGCAGGCCUAACACAUGCAAGUCGAACGGUAACAGGAAGCAGCUUGCUGCUUCGCUGACGAGUGGCGGACGGGUGAGUAAUGUCUGGGAAACUGCCUGAUGGAGGGGGAUAACUACUGGAAACGGUAGCUAAUACCGCAUAACGUCGCAAGACCAAAGAGGGGGACCUUCGGGCCUCUUGCCAUCGGAUGUGCCCAGGUGGGAUUAGCUUGUUGGUGGGGUAACGGCUCACC
rnacentral:rRNA from 1 species